rnacentral:lncRNA from 1 species
AUGGAAACUCCACCCCCAGGUGGUGCACCAAAUAUGGCAGAGAUUCGGUCAGGCUACCGUAGAUCUCUUCGCCUCAUGGGAAAGCGCCCACUGCCCACUCUUCUUCUCCCUGACAGACGCGGACGCACCUCUGGGAGUCGACGCAUUGGCUUACCAGUGGCUGAGAGUGCUGCUGUACGCAUUUCCUCCUCUCAGUCUGAUUUCCUCCAUUCUAAUAAGAGUGAGGGAACAGGGAUUGUCUUUGAUCUUGGUGGCUCCAUUGUGGCCAUCCAAGCCGUGGGUGGCAGAAAUAAUCCAGAUGCUUUGGGACAAACCGUGGCCCCUGCCUGUCCGCAGGGAUCUCCUGUCCCAAGCCAGGGGAGAGAUUUAUCACCCUCACCCAGACCGCUUGUCUCUGUGGGCCUGGCCCGUGAGAGGUGGAAUCUGAGCAUGGCAGGCCUGCCCCCAUGUGUCAUUGACACCAUUCAAAACGCUAGGGUCCCCUCAACUCGCUCUCUUUACAGCUGUAAAUGGAGGGUUUUUGAGGUGUGGUGUGAAGAAAAACAUGUUAUCCCAUUUCAGUGUUCGGUGGUGGAUGUACUCUGUUUUUUGCCGAGUCUGAUGGACAAGGGUAAAGCUUUCUCCACUAUUAAGGUUUAUCGGGCUACAAUUUCUGCAUGCCAUGUGGAGUUUGGUGACAAACCAGUGGGGCAACACCCAUUAGUGAGUCGCUUCAUGAAGGGUGCUCGCCGUAAGCUACCAGUCUUUAGGCCACUGGUACCACUGUGGGACCUCUCUCUUGUUCUGGAGGCCCUCUGUCAUCAUCCUUUUGAACCGGUAGAUGGGGCUGGAUUGAAAUUUCUUUCUUUAAAAGCUGCACUGCUCUUAGCUUUAACUACAGCAAAAAGAGUGAGUGACCUUCAGGCAUGGUCAGUCAGUCCCUCUUGUUUACGGUGGGCCCCUGGCUACACUAAGGUGUGUCUGCGGCCCAGUCCAGCUUUUGUGCCUAAAGUAAUGGAGUCGUCUUAUAGCUGCUCCCCUGUGGAGCUGCGGGCUUUUCACCCACCUCCUUUUUCCUCAGCAGAAGAGCAGAAGCUUAUUGUCUCUGCCCUGUUCGAGCUUUAA